UGAGUACGAGAUGCUACGGCAUCGAAGCAGUCUAUGUCAUACUUCCAAGAAAAGCUUGCAAUGUCAUAAACAAAUAAUGCCUGUACCAUAACCGACACAGGUGGGUAGGUAGAGUAUACUAAGGGGCGCGAGAUAACUCUCUCUAAGGAACUCGGCAAAAUGACUCCGUAACUUCGGGAGAAGGAGUGCCUUAUUUUUAUAAGGUUGCAAUAACAAGAUCCGAGCAACUGUUUACCAAAAACACAGGUCUCCGCUAAGUCGUAAGACGAUGUAUGGGGGCUGACGCCUGCCCAGUGCCAGAAGGUUAAAGAAGUUGGUUAGCAUUAGCGAAGCUGAUAACUGAAGCCCUGGUGAACGGCGGCCGUAACAAUAACGGUCCUAAGGUAGCGAAAUUCCUUGUCGGGUAAGUUCCGACCCGCACGAAAGGCGUAAUGAUUUGGAUACUGUCUCGGAGAGGGGCUCGGUGAAAUAGACUUGUCUGUGAAGAUGCGGACUACCUGCACCUGGACAGAAAGACCCUAUGAAGCUUUACUGUAACUUGAGAUUGAAAUUGGACUUUAUCUGCGCAGUAUAGGUGGGAGACGUUGAAAAUAUUCUUGCGGGAAUAUUGGAGUCAUCAGUGAGAUACCACUCUUAUAAUGUUAGAUUUCUAACUUUGUAUCAUUAUCUGGUCAAAGAACAGUUUCAGGCGGGCAGUUUGACUGGGGCGGUCGCCUCCCAAACGGUAACGGAGGCGCACAAAGGUUUCCUCUGAACGUGUAGAAAUCGUAUCUAGAGUGUAAAGGCAUAAGGAAGCUUGACUGUGAGACCUACAAGUCGAGCAGGGACGAAAGUCGGUCUUAGUGAUCUGACGGUGCUGAGUGGAAAGGCCGUCACUCAACGGAUAAAAGUUACUCUAGGAUAACAGGCUGAUCUCCCCCAAGAGUUCACAUCGACGGGGAGGUUUGGCACCUCGAUGUCGGCUCAUCGCAUCCUGGGGCGGUAGUACGUCCCAAGGGUUGGGCUGUUCGCCCAUGAAAGCGGUACGCGAGCUGGGUUCAGAACGUCGUGAGACAGUUCGGUCCAUAUCCGGUGUAGGCGUUAGAAUAUUGAGAGGAGCCUUCUUUAGUACGAGAGGACCGAGAAGGACAUACCUCUGGUGUACCAGUUAUCGUGCCAACGGUAAACGCUGGGUAGCCAUGUAUGGAGAGGAUAACCGCUGAAAGCAUCUAAGUGGGAAGCCCACCUCAAGAUAAGUAUUCUCC
rnacentral:rRNA from 1 species